UAUUUUUACUCUUCUCUUUUUCUCUCUUUUCUCAUUAUUAGGGUUUCAAUUCCAAAUCAAAUCUUCCGAUUACACUAAGAAUCGAUGAAUUAACAAGAGACGAGAAACCAAUUUGAAUUAGCGCUUCCGCUUCACGAUGAUGGCUUACGAUUCAGCUAUUCCUUUUCAUUCGCUUGCUUCGUUUGUUACUGUGUUCAACGGAUUGAACUUCUCUGAAUGGCGUGAACAUAUCCAAUUCCACUUAGGUGUGAUGGAUCUUGACUUGGCUCUGCUGAAUGAUAAACCCGCUGUCAUUACUGAUUCGAGCAGUGCGGAUGAGAAGUCUUUCCAUAAAGCAUGGGAAUGCUCUAAUAGGCUAAGACUUAUGUUUAUGUGAAUGAAUAUUGCCAACAACAUUAAGCGUACUAUUCCACAAACAGAAAGUGCCAGGGAAUACCUGAAGUUUGUGGAAAAACAUUUUCGUUCUGCAGAUAAUUCUCUCGUUGGUACACUAAUGGCUGAACUCACGACCAUGAAGUUUGAUGGGUCGCGUAGUAUGCAAAACCAUAUCAUCGAGAUGACUAACAUUGUAGCAAGACUUCAGACCUUGGGGAUGAAAGUGGAUGAUUCCUUCUUGGUUCAGUUUAUUCUAAACUCGUUACCUCGUGAGUAUGGAUCUUUUCAAAUUAACUAUAACACUAUUAAGGAUAAGUGGAAUGUUAAUGAAUUGUCCAGUAUGCUUACUCAAGAGGAGUCAAGACUUAAGAAAUAAGGGAGUCAUUCAAUUAACCUCAUGGGUCAAGGAGCUGGUAAAGGACUUAAAGUGAAGCCCAACAAAUUCAAGAAGAAGAAAGCACCUGCUAAAGCUUCACAGGAUGCUAAGAAGGAACAUAAGGCAGAUACGUGUCAUUUCUGUAACAAGGAAGGACACUAUCAGAAGAUUGCUUGAAACGCAAAGCUUGGUUCGGAAAAAAAGGGAUUCCUUACGAUCCAAACUACAAAUCCAAAUAAGGAUUUCUUGUUCAUGAGAAAUCAUAUGAAGGCUCCAAUUAAAGGCAUAUGGACUUAUCAUUUAAUCAUGGAGACUGGACGUCACCUUGAUCUAUUACAGACUUUGUAUGUACCUUCAAUUUCUAGGAAUUUGAUUUCUCUUUCAAGACUUGAUGUUUCUAGAUUUGAUUUAAACUUUGG